UGAUUCGGGGCGAGCCAAAACUAAAUCAAUUGAAUUCAAAUGAAGUGAAUGGACAUUUUAUAUAGAAAUAAAAUAUACAUUAUUAUUUAUUUAUUAGGCUUUCUCACAAAUAUUUAGGCCUAACAAAGAGCUGUGAUCGAGGAAGGGGCGGAGACAUGGAAACCGUGAAAACGGAAAAUAACUGUCUUGUAUCGUUAAUGGGUCAUGUUUUUUGUCAUCCUAACCUAAUAAACAGCAGAUUUCUUUAUCUUACUAUUGGGUUCAUCAAGGAGAAUUCAAUUAAUUUUAUUUUGUAUAGCCCAAAAUCACAAAUUGGCCUCAGAGGGCUUUACAGUCUGUACACAUGCGACAUUCUCUGUCCCGAAACCCACCAUCGGCACAGGAAAUACUCCGCAAAAAAUGAAAAACCCUUCCACCUUCCUUAAGGAGAACGUCAUAGGAGGAAUUCCUGCCCUGGGAAUGGACAGACUACAAUGGAUGCCAUGUGUACAGAAUGAACAAUGUAAAACAUGUACAAUACAUUCAUUUCCUAUAACAGAUGAUUCAAAUAAUUGCGAGUAGCAAGCCAGGCGCACGGCAGGACCACGGCAGGGACAACCACCAUCCUGAGAAGCCUAUGGGGAGAAAAAAGACAAAGAAUUUAGGAAAGGGUAAUGUUGGUUUAUGAUGACAGUAAGAGUAAUAUGAUCCAUAUUUAAAAUAACAAUGAUGAUCGCAGGUGUCAGCAGGGCCACGGUAGGAGGCAGGCCAGCUCUAACUAAAAGCUUAAAUCUUUCCUCUUUAAUAUUGCUUAAUCUUAAAAGAGCUGACCGAAUCUUCCCCCCGGAAUGAAAGUGGAAGCUCGUUCCACAAAAGAGGAGCUUGAUAACUGAAGGCUCUGGCUCCCAUCCUACUUUUUAAAACCAUAGGAACAACAAGUAACCAAGCAUCUAUAGAGCGCAGCUGCCUUGUAGGGAAAUACGGUGUUACAAGCUCUAAGAUAAGGUCGGUGCCUCACCAGCAAGUGCCUUGUAGGUGAGAAGUACCUUAAAUUCUAUUCUUGAUUUAACAGAGAGCCAGUGCAGAGAAGUUAAAACAGGAGUAAUAUGAUCCAUUUUCUUAGUGGCCAACUGUGGGUGAGUGGGGAGCACGGUCGUCCUCCAAUCAGAGGGUUGUGGGUUCGAUCCCAGUCCUGGCUAACCCGCAUGUCGAUGUGUCCUUGGGUAAGACACUUAACCCAACAUUGCUCCUGUAGCUGCGACUACAGUGUGUGAAUGUUAGUUACUGAUGGCAGGUGUCACUGUGUAUGGUUCUCCUGUCAUCAGUGUGUGAAUGGGUGAAUAAUGUCAUGUAGUGUUAAAGCGCUUUGAGUGGUCGGAAGACUAGAAAAGCGCUAUACAAGUACAGGCCAUUUACCAUUUAUUGUUAAUACAUAUUGUUAUACCCUUUUGUAUUUAAGCCGUGUGUCUCUUGUGUCACUUGUCGCGUCAUUGUCUUUUGCCACGCAUGUCCUUGUCUAACAUCGUGGAUGUCCGUAGUUUCAUGCCUGCUGUUCUUCCCCUGGUUCCUGUGUUUUUUGGCCUUUUGACUAAUAAAGUCUUUUGUUUUCCUGAGAGGUCUGCAUUUGAGUCCUGCCUCCCCCACGCGUCCCUGACAGAUGGUGAGAUGCUUCGCGCUGGUUUGAUCUGUCCCCAAACACCCUCUCACGUCUGAAAGCAUGUCUCAAUAUCAGUGCUUCUUCAUCCAAAACGUGCUUCAGACAUGGGCAUCACGGUGCAGAAGGAAAAACAGACAGACGAGAAGAAGCUGCUGAAUGCUCUCAGUGGAUCGUCUCGUCAACUCCAACAACAAACUGCCGAUAUCAACGAGCGGUUCGCUCCACUGGAGCGUUCGGGACUCUGCGGGUUUCUGUCCAUGGAGGAGAGGAACCGACUCAAAGAAGAGGAGACGGGCGCACAAUCCCACGAUAGCGGAAGCAGUGCGCCGUUUUCACAACUCCGAGACGAACUACAGGCGCUACGAACCGGAGCAAGGGAUUUACAGAAUAUGCUUUCAUUCUGCGGUAUAAGGAAAUAUAUACGUAUGGAUACCGAUCAUAACUGUACAUUUUGUUUUCACAGACUAAUCUCGCCUCAUAAUGAGGCGGUGACCUCGUAUUUGCUCCGGGAAAAGUUCAGAUUUAGACGACGUCAUUGUGUCUGCCUGUGAGACGUAUUGUGAGACGGGACGCAGGAGCUUCAGGUUCAGCCGGAAAACACUCAUUGCGAGCGGAAGCUGCGAAGGAUUCAGUGCGGAGUCGAGCGAGAAGAAAGAGGCUGCUGGAAUCGAGACAAAGUGUGCUGGCUGAUGACGAGGUGGAACGCUGGAAAUCCGCCACCGUAGAGCUCACGUCGGACGGAGGGGACGGCGUUGUUGGCGGGGUCUCGGGGUGGAUUGUACGGUCGCCACACACGAGCCGCCUGCACAACAGACCUGCCUCGGAAAACACGGCGCCAGUGACGGUCUACAACCCAGAGGAGGCAAACGGACAGUUUACUGAGCUGUAGUUUUUAAACCGCCGUUACCCAAGUGUGGGCAGAUCCUCACUGUAUGUAGUUGUUGUUAAUAAAGC
ensembl:lncRNA